rnacentral:rRNA from 1 species
AACUUUUAGCAAUGGAUCUCUUGGCUCUCGCAUCGAUGAAGAACGCAGCGAAUUGCGAUAUGUAAUGUGAAUUGCAGAAUUCAGUGAAUCAUCGAAUCUUUGAACGCACCUUGCGCCCUUUGGUAUUCCGAAGGGCAUGCCUGUUGAGUGUCA